UCGACUUUUGGCCGGUGACUUCUCCGCUCCGGUGUCUGACUGCUGUCGCUUGCCUUAUUCAUUGGAUGAUCAUUGGGUGUCAUUUGUAAAGGGGAAAGAGGAGGUGGGUUUCCUACCAGCAGAUGUGCUUUCAGGUUGGUGUCGGUCGCUUUUUCGGUUUGUGGGCAAGAGGAGGAGGAGGAGGAGGGUUUCAUUCCAGUAGAUGUGAUUUUUAGGUUGGCAUUAGUUGCUUCUCAGUAAGAGGCCCUGCACCCUCUUUUCCUUGGGAGUGCUUCAUUGUAGUUGCGACCCUCGGUUAGUCCAGUGUUGAUUUUUGCUAGGCGACUUCUCCACCUCGGCAUCCGAAUUCUGUUGCUUGCACCCAUCGCGGGGUGUCCGUUCGUUGUUGGACGUGGUUUUCUCAGGGGCAGACAGGCGGUGGGUUCCCUUUCGGUGGGUGUGCUUAUGGGUAAGAGAACUCAGAUCCUCUUUCCUUGCGAGUGUCGGGUGGUUUUGGGUAAGUAAGAGAACUCACAUCCUCUUUCCUUGCGAGUGCUUUGAUGUCCUUUUUUUGCGGUCCUUGGUUUGUUUGGCGAUGAUUUUUGGGCAGCGGCUUCUCCAUGCCCGCGUUUGAAAGCUGUCACUAUCCAUCAUCAUCAUUGGAAUGUUGUUGGGCCAUGGGGUGUCAUUUGUACUGGGGGAAAGGGCGGGUGGGCUCUCUCUCUCUCUGUUUGAAUGUAACUUGUGCUCAUUUUUCUUUUGCUUUGUUGAAAGGGGAAAUUUUCGGGAAUCGGUCUUGUGGAGGGAUGAAAGCAGCACACUGUUGGGACUGGCCACCCUAGUCCCCCCUGAUCAUCGUUCCCUACAAUUUCCCCUUGCAGUUGAGUCUUGGUAAAGAUUUCUUUGUUUGUUUGACCCUCUUGUGGAAUGGGUAGUGAAUUUGUGUCUUGUGGCCCUCGGGUUGGACAACUUGUGCUUGUUUUUCCUUUUCUCCAUCGGAAAGGGGAAUUGCGGGGAAUCGGUGUUUUAGAGGGAUGAAAGCAGUGCGCUAUUGGACUGGCCACCCUAGUCCCCCCUUCAUCCUCAUUCCCUUCAACUCCCCCUCUCGAGUUGAGGUCAUGGAAAGCUUUCUCUGUUUGUUCGAGCCUCCUGUGUACAGCGGGGGAGUGCAUCUGUCUUGUGGGGUGGGAGGGUUGUUGUCGUUUGCGAUGCUAUGUGCAUCAUGGGAUUUUCCAUUUUGGUCACAUGGACGCCUUGUCUAGCGAAGUGGUGGUUCGUCGGUAACGUGAGGAAAUGACUCUCGGCAACGGAUAUCUCGACUCUUGUCACGAUGAAGAACAUAGGGAAAUGCGAUACUUAGUGUGAAUUGCAGAAUCCCGUGAAUCAUCGAGUUUUUGAACGCAAUUUGCGCCCGAGGCCUCGGUCAAGGGCACGUCUAUCUGGGCAUCACAUACUACAUACAUGUGCUCCCUACAAGGCAUGGGGGAGGAGCGGAGAUGGUCGACCGUUCCCAACGUGGUUCGGUCGACUGAAAUACAUGCCAUGUUCUGUGUCUUGUGUCGACGAGUGGUGAUAUUGUCCCCUAGGGGUCUGCGUCCUGAACCCAUGGGCUGUCAGUAGUCUGCCCGAGCUGCUAUCGCGGCGAGGGUGGGCAGUCGUGUGCUGAUUGGGCUACGGACGUAGAAUGUCCUCUCGCGGGGGAUUUUCCCUAGGCGGCGAACAGUCGACUCAGAACUGGUACGAACAAGGGGAAUCCGACUGUUUAAUUAAAACAAAGCAUUGCGAUGGUCCCUACAGAUGCUAACGCAAUGUGAUUUCUGCCCAGUGCUCUGAAUGUCAAAGUGAAGAAAUUCAACCAAGCACGGGUAAACGGCGGGAGUAACUAUGACUCUCUUAAGGUAGCCAAAUGCCUCGUCAUCUAAUUAGUGACGCGCAUGAAUGGAUUAACGAGAUUCCCACUGUCCCUAUCUACUAUCUAGCGAAACCAUAGCCAAGGGAACGGGCUUGGAAGAAUCAGUGGGGAAAGAAGACCCUGUUGAGCUUGACUCUAGUCUGACUUUGUGAAAUGACUUGAGAGGUGUAGAAUAAGUGGGAGCCAUUUUCGGCGCAAGUGAAAUACCACUACUUUUAACGUUAUUUUACUUAUUCCGUGGGGCGGAGACGGGGCAUUGCCCCUAUUUUUGGCCUUAAGACACGUUUCGACGAGUCGAUCCGGGCGGAAGACAUUGUCAGGUGGGGAGUUUGGCAGGGGCGGCACAUCUAUUAAAAGAUAAUGCUGGUGUCCUAAGAUGAGCUCAACGAGAACAAAAAUCUCGUGUGGAACAAAAGGGUAAAAGCUCAUUUGAUUUUGAUUUUCAGUACGAAUACAAACCGUAAAAGUGUGGCCUAUCGAUCCUUUAGACUUUCGGAAUUUGAAGCUAGAGGUGUCAGAAAAGUUACCACAGGGAUAACUGGCUUGUGGUAGCCAAGCGUUCAUAGAGACGUUGCUCUUUGAUCCUUCGAUGUCGGCUCUUCCUAUCAUUGUGAAGCAGAAUUCACCAAGUGUUGGAUUGUUCACCCACCAAUAGGGAACGUGAGCUAGGUUUAGACCAUCGUGAGACAGGUUAGUUUUACCCUACUGAUGAACCGCGCCACAAUAGUAAUUCAACUUAGUACGAGAGGAACCGUUGAUUCACACAAUUGGUCAUCGUGCUUGGUUGAAAAUCCAGUGGCGCAAAGCUACUGUGUGUCAGAUUAUGACUGAAUGCCUCUAAGUCAGAAUCCACGCUAGAAGCGGCACUUGUCACUCCUCGACUGUAUCUUGACCCAUAGUAGGGGUGUCACUUCGGCACCCCCAGGGGCCCGUGUCACUUGUGAACCUCGACCGGGAAGCGUCUCGGUCGGGGCAGCUUUGAAGUUCAAUUUCAAACGGUCGUUGAGAAGAAUCAUUUGCCGAUGACUUAAAUACACGACGGGGUAUUGUAAGUGGAAGAAUGGCCUUGAUUCCACGAUC
rnacentral:rRNA from 1 species